UUCUACGCAUGGCUUGUUAAAGUCCUCUUCAAAUAUGCAUUUGGAAUAAAUAUCGAUGAUAUUGUCGUUAAACGUUGAAUACGUUUGGUUAGUAUUAAUUGAUACAAAUCAAACACGUAUUUUACAGAGAACAUUUUGAUCAGUUUGAUUUUUACUGAUUCUUCCGCUGUAACUCGUUUAGGCUGUGAGUCAAUCAUACCUUAAAAGGCAAGAAACCCGCCCGGAGAGCAGUGAUUAAUGAGGGACGUUUACCUUUACCCGGGAUCUACCUGCAGCAGCUUCUCUUUUGGAGCUGUGGAGACCUGCAGCGAAGGCUGCUCAGUCUAAUUCUGCUACAGCAAAUAUCGACCAUGUUGCGUUUACACACCCUCCACCUCCUCAUCAACGCCCAUUCGUCACAGAUUCAUCAGCUUCGUCAGCUUCAUGAACAACAUCCUACACUGGAAGUGUCUGGAAAGAGGUGGAGGAGAUGAGGACGCUGAAGACAUCAUUAUCCAUAUCGGAUAAGCCUGACCACCAUCUCCACCUGCUACCGCAGAGACAGCAGAGCACCUUUUCCAGCAGACUCCCAACCCAGCUCUCACAAGGACAGAUGGAGGACAACCGUCCCUUCCCCUGGAAAGACCUUACAAUUAAUGACCUCCAGGCCAAAUCACCCUCAUGACUAUAAUACCGUUACACUAUUGUUUGCUUGUGGUCUGGCCACAUCUUUUCACUUUUAGUUAGUCAAUUUAACUCAAUACUAUUGUAUUUUUAUGACUUGUUCAUGACUUUUUUUUAACAUAAUUUAUAGUGAGUGGUGACGUUGACGAUCCUCUACAGCUCAUUACUUUUCUAAUAUAUCUCACUUUGGCUUUUUAAAAAAAACUUUCAUGUCCCUUUUUUUGAAACAAUGCACUUUAAUUUUCCACUGUGAAAUCCCUCUGAAUGAUUGAGGAUGUCGCACUUUAACAAUUACGUUCUUUGACGUACUGUCACAUCACUUUUUCUUAAUAGUAUUCUAUAACUUUUUACAAUUUUAAACAAAUGACUGAUGAUUUUCUUUGAAAAUAUUAAUCCGUGAGUUUUUCAAACAAUAACAUUUCUGAUAUGAUUUUCCACAUACUACAGUAAGCUGCUCGCCGCUCGCUCGCCAACUUGAUCGCAACAGCCCGGCUCGCUAGCUCGUUAGCGUCUUAGCUCGUUAGCGUGUUGGCUUGUUGUGGGUGCUAGUGUUGUACAAUUAUAAGUGUUACAAAUUGUUUAUAUGUCACCAGCUGUUGUGUUGUGGUGUUUUACCCAGUUAAAGAGUCUUUGUUGUGGGUUAUUUAUUGUUGUUAUAAAGUAAAAAUGACUAAAAAUAAAUUCUGCCGCCUGCCGAAAAGUAACGUCAGUUGUUACGGCGUAACGUACGUGAGAAAUUCAUACCGUACGGAAAUAUUACACCGGCAUACCGUUUGAAUACCGCCCAGCCCUCGUUCAGACGUAAGUUAUAAAAUGAAGUUUCAUUCCUCUGCCACCAACACCGAAUGCUCACCUGCAGACAGCUGGACAGUCGCCUUCGUCAACGCACUCCUCCUCCUCCUCCUCCCCCCCCUUGCUCGUUAUCAUUUGAGCUCCACAGAGACUCUUCUAAUGACAGCGCUUGUCUAUAACGUCGUCGUCACGGCUCGUGUGUACGUGCUUGUGUGUGUUACUCCGUGUGUGUGUGUGUGUGUGUGUGUGUGUGUGUGCACUCGUGCGGGUGUUGGCUCCGUAAUGACAGCGGCUGUCUAUAACGGCUCGUCCUGGCUGGGAUCAUUUGGUCCUCCCUCUCUCCCGCGUGCGCUGUCCGAUGUCACCCGUGUCCGGGUGGACGAUGAUGUGAUCUUUAGUCCCCUCUGCGAUCUAUAGACUGGCAUUUGGCUCAGGGAGCGUCCCCCGGCCCUGACGUGCAUGCUUAAGCUUGCCUCGCUGUUCUGCCGAUAUUCCCCCUGCCGCCCUUACCGCCCCCAACAGGAAGUUAAUGCCAGCCAGCGCAAUAUUCCGACAGGCAGCAUUAGAUACCAGGGUGGCAGUUAGCCAUUGAAGUUUGAGGCCCCCCCCACCAGAAAAAGCAAAGACGAUUUGUGUGUUUCAUUGGUAGAAUGCUACUUGUAUUUAGGAAAAUGUUUACUCCCAUUAAAUGUAAUUUACGCCAGCACAAACUCCCUUCACCUCUUCCUAUAAUAUUCAGCCUCGUAGUUUGAUCUAAAUACUUAUUGCAGGCAGUCAGUAUAAGCGCAUGACACAUCCCCAAAUUAGCAAUAGCUGCAAAUGGACGCUCAAAAGGGAAUGUGCACGUUUAUUGUCAGUAUUCAGCCAGAAUGGUGCGAGGCUUUAACAGGCUCCAAAGACAUCUAUGGAACAGGUCGUGAUUCAUGAUAAUGUUUCUGAUGUAUCUUGUUAAUAGCAACAUAGCAGGCCUGUGAUCAGGCUGUGUAAUGCCUUAAAGUUAAUGGUCCACAGAAGUGUUUCUUACGUUCUUUUAUUAACUUCAACAUUUUCUCCUGCAAUUGUUUGUGUAUCUUACACAAAGUACAUUUUUAUUUUCUGUGCGUUCCCCUUCAGAUGUUCACCAACGCGCGGCAAUAUUCUGAUCCACUAAUUCAGUCCAUGAGCUCUUUAUAUAACUUCUCACAUUAUCUAUCUGGAGUUUAUAACAUGUAACAUGUGAAUCUUUUAACUAGGUGAGUUCCUUUAAAUCUACUAAACUCUAUUUUAAGCUCAUGUGUUUUACCAGAAAGUCUCCAUCUGUAUGAUCUGAUUUAUUUUAUCUAUGAGUUUGGUUUGUCCUAUGUGUGUGUGGACCUGAGGGACGGGCUAUGUCCACUCCUGCAUUGACGCCAUCACAUUCUCAUCUGCAUACAUGACAGCUCAGACCUUUUUCUUCCUCCGUCCCCUUUCCACCAGUGCAACCUUUUACUGUCAUAUCUUCUUAAUUUCCAAUGACUUGUGUUUUUUAUUUAUUCACCUUUUCUGGAUGUCCCCAAUAUCCCCCCGCCACCCCCCCCCCCCCCCCCUGUCUGUCGCUCUCUGCGGGUCAAUACUGUGUGUGUUGGGGAUUCAGCGGUCACGGUUUCCAGAUAAACACCCUGUUAGCAGGAUUAUCCCUGUUGUCCUAGCAAUGUAAACCUGGGAUUAGGCGUGACUGUCUAGGGAUAUAUGUGUGUGCAUGGUUGUGUGUGUUUGUCCAACCUGUAUGCCUGCGUGUAUUAUUAAAGGCUGCCGUUACGAGCAUA